GGGGUAUAAAUUAAUAAUAAAGUUUUAUUAAUAAAAAAAUUUUUAAAUAAUAAAUAUUAAUAAUUUUAAUGGGGGUUAAAGUAUAUUAAUAGAAAAAAUUAAAAAUUUUAUAAUGAAUUAUGUAUUGUGAAAGAAUUUUGAAAUAAGUGAAAUAAAUUAAAUUGGGGUAAAGUAAUUUUUAUUUAAUGUAUCUUGUGUAUCAGAGUUUAUUAAAUGAAAUUUUUAAUUAAAAAAUUCUCGAAUUUAAAAGAGAUAAUUAAUUAUAAAAGUUAUUGUAGAAUAAAUAUUUUAAAUAAUUAAUUGGAAAUGAAAUGUUAAUCGUUUUUAAAUAUAUCUAGUUUUUUUAGAAAAAAAUUUAAUUUUAAAUUUAAUUUAUUAAUUUAUUAAUUAAUUAAUAAAUUAAUAAAUUAAAUUUUAUAUUUUAAGGGAUAAGCUUUAAAUUAAAUUUAUAUAAUUUAUAUUUAAAUUUUGAAAAUUAUAUAAUUUAUAUUUUUAAUAAAUUAUAAUUUUUUAUAAAUAAUUUCAAAUAAAAUAAAAUUUAAUUAAAAUUUAUAAUAUUUAUAAAAAAAUAAUUUUUAACAAAUAAAAAUUAGUUAUAAUGAUAAAAUUAGUAUAUAAUUAUAAAUUUAAUUUAGUUAUAAAUUAAGUUAAUUAUUUUAAAGGAAUUCGGCAAAAAUUUAUAUUCACUUGUUUAUCAAAAACAUGUCUUUUUGUAAAUAAUAUAAAGUCUAAUCUGCCCACUGAUUAAUUAAUUAAAGGGCUGCAGUAUAUUGACUGUACAAAGGUAGCAUAAUCAUUAGUCAUUUAAUUGAUGACUUGUAUGAAAGAUUGGAUGAAAUAUAAACUGUCUCUAAAGUAAUUUAUAGAACUUAAUUUUUUAAUUAAAAAGUUAAAAUAUAUUAAAAAGACGAGAAGACCCUAUAGAGUUUUAUAAAUGAUUAAUUUAAUUUUAUUUAUAAAUAGAUAUAUAUAUAUAUAUAUAAAUUUAAUUUAUAAAUUUAUUUUGUUGGGGUGAUGAAAAAAUAAAAAUAACUUUUUUUUAAAAAAAUCAUAUAUAAGUGAGUAAAUGAUCCAAUUUUAUUGAUUAUAAGAAAAAAUUACCUUAGGGAUAACAGCGUAAUUUUUUUUUUUAGUUCAAAUAAGAAAAAAAGUUUGCGACCUCGAUGUUGGAUUAAGAUAAAAUUUAAAUGCAGAAGUUUAAAAUUUUUGAUCUGUUCGAUCAUUAAAAUCUUACAUGAUCUGAGUUCAAACCGGUGUGAGCCAGGUUGGUUUCUAUCUUUUAAAAAAAAAAAUAUUUUAGUACGAAAGGAUUAAAUAUUUAAAUUAAAUUUAAAAUAAUGAAUUUUAUUAAAUUUAAAAUUAAAUUUAUGAGUGUUAUAUAUAUAUAUAUAUAUAUAA
rnacentral:rRNA from 1 species